rnacentral:lncRNA from 1 species
UGUCCUGUUUCUUCUCUGACCACUUUAGAGGUGGGAGAGCUGAGGCCCAAGAUCUGUUCCAUGGCUGGUGAGGAAACCAAGCCACAGAGAAGUGGAACCGUAAACAGUGCCAGGACAGACAGGCUCGUUUCAUUCAGCAUUGACUUUCACAAACAAGG